CCAUCCCAAGCCGUUUGUGUACAAACCUAACCUAUCUAUUAUACAACCGUGCUCUCAACCAAUCAGUCGAAACGCGUUUUGUCUGGUUAGGUUAGAACUAGUUUUAACUGAUUUUCAUUUUAAAACAGCAAUUGUUUCUAGCUGUAAAAAAGGCCUAUUUAGUAAAAACUAGUUUUAACUUUAACAGACAUAUUUGCGUCACUGUUUAAUUUAACUUUACUGAAGAUACCACGGUAUGUACAUACACAUAUUUGGCGUGCGUUUACCACACUUUCCUGUAUAUAUUUAUAAAUCUAGUGCUGUUAAACUACCUCUUAUCUUCUGAUAAGAUAAAUGUUGAAAGAAAAUGGUCAAUUACGUCAUUUUAUUGAUCGCUUUUUUGUCUAUACAAACUUUCGUAAAUUCAGGUAGCAACUCGAUGUUAUGGAUGUUCUUCCGCCAUGAAUUCCCAGUGUACAUACGUCUUAAACAAAGAAUUCCCAAAUCACUGUAGUUUCGAAGUGGAUGUAAAAUGUGCAUUAUAUACAUAUAAAACAAAUGAAGAUAAAGAAGUCAUUGUUCGUGGAUGUAAAAAUACAACAGAAACUUGCAAACAUAUCGAAGACAUGUUAACCAAGGAACACAAGACCAUAAGCAACUGUACUAUGUGUUCCGAAAACCUGUGCAAUGACGUAUUUUCGACGUCUGAAGGAAGCAAAGUGGACAAAUUGAGUUCUCAUAAUAUCUACAUUUUACUAAUAACAUUUUGCGUGUUUUUAGUUACUCGGCACUGAGUUAUUUUCAGGCGCGGAUACAGGAUUUCGUUUAGGGGGGGGGGGGGGGAUUUUUGUGCGAUUUUACCUAUCUCCCAGAAAUUCGUUCUAAACAAAAAAAAUAUAUAAAAUUUUAACCAGUAUACUCUUUUUUACAUAACAUGGGUGAGAUUUGGUUGUUUUCGUCACUAUACUUACAGUAGAACCUCGAUAAUCCAAAUUAAUUGGGAAAAAGGGGUAUUCGCUUUAACGAUUUGUUCGGAUCAGCGAUUUUCCCAAAAAUCUGAAAGGGACUUGAAUAACAACUUCAUACACAGUUCAGUACAAACUUAAUUUUAUUAAACAAAAUUAAAGAAUUCUUAAGCAACAAUGGAUAAUAGAUACAUUCUAAAAAAAUAUUACUCUGUGACCAUAAACACGCUUUUUGGAAUCAACACGCCGGGAUCUAGAUAUAGGUACCCUGCAUUUUUUCAGAAUUUUUAGAUGAAUUUUUCAAAAAUGAAAUUUUCCAUUAUGUAUUACCUCCAUUAUGCAAAUUUCGACCCACAACGACGAUUUUCGAAAUUUAACUACCUAAAUACUUUUUCUUGUAGAUUUCGGGCCUCAUUUCUUCGAUAACUUCAACCUUUUUUCCAGAGUUAGUUAAUUAAUUCAGUGCAUUGAAGUAUCGCAAUUUUUUAAAAUUUCAAAAUAUUCCAUACAACAUAUGCAGAAAGCUCUUGCGUCAUUUUUGCAAGUAGGUGCGUGUUUCCAAGUUCAGUUCGGAUUGCAGAGUUUUUGUUCGGAUUAAAGAAGCAUCGAAUUCAAAUAGCCUCUGUUCGGAUUAAUGGAUGUUCGGAUAAUCGUGAAUUCGAAUUAUAGAAGUUGUACUGUAUUUACAAAAUGAAAUGCGAUUUCAAAAUUUUGAAAUUGGUCAAAAUAAAGUACCUCGGUCGUGUGCCCCCCCUCCCCCCCCCCCCGAAUCCGCGCCUGGUUAUUUUCUAUGAAAUUAGAAGAACUAGAAUAUUUGUCCGGUAACACUAUGCAACACUAAAAAAUUCACCAGAAAGUUCAGAUAGUGUUUGAGGUUGGGUAUACUCCAUAUACUAAAGAAAAAAAUGUUUUAUACCCAUAUCAUUUCACAAAACAUAGGUAGAUAACGGGUGUUUUGUUUUUCUUACUUUUUGGGACAUUUUAGGAAUUAUGCGUAAUAACUAAACUUGUCAGUUAUUAUGCAUAAUAACCGGGAAGAUUAGGAAUUAUGCGUAAUCAAAAAAGCUACCCACCCUGCCUCGCUUUCCCCUACGUAUCACAUAUACAGUGGAUUUAAAAAAAAACUGGACAAAUUACAGUAACAUAAACGUCAUAUUCCCAUUGCUUUUCAUUGUCUAUGAGAACCUGAUUUGCUCAUUUUGUCCCGUUUUUUGUGAAAUCAGCUGGACAUGUUAGGCAAUAUGCUUAAUGACUAAUGUUUCAGGUAUUAUGCAUAGUUCCUGUUCCUCUGUUAGUUAUUAUCAAUAUUACCUAAAAGUUUCCAUUAUUAUAAUAACUGCGAAAAUUUCAGUUAUUACGCAUAAUUCCUAAAAUGUCUAGUUAUUAUGCAUAAUAAUGUAUUUCGGAUAUUAGCUGUAACAUAUCCACCCAUGUUUGCAGACUUCUGUUGGUGUCUUCAGAGGGAUACUGCGAGAUCUGGCUACAAUAGGUAUGCCAAUCGUUCAAAAAAAAGACCUUUUUCAAUGAAAAAUGAAGUUUUGUUUUAUUAAUUUUGUAUGACUUCAAAAAUUUUUUUUUCAUUUUGAAACCUGAUGUGAUACGGUUCUUUCAAGCAUAAUCCUCAAUUGAGUUUGAGGUAAGAAAUUUUAACUACAUACUGUGCAUUCUGUGAAUUUUAUUUUUUUUUUUGAUUUGUUGCAUAGUGUAAUAAUUGACUAACGGGCCAAUUUCAAGUUGGAUUUACAAUUUCGCAAGUCCUCGUUGCCAUGGAAGUUGCGAUGGCAGCAGUCGCGAGGACGAAUCAUAUCGCCAAUCGCAACAACUGUCAUCGAAAUUAUUGAAUUACCCCAAAGGGGUAAUUUCAACAUCGAAAUUACCAUAGCAACGGCACUUGCGAUUUCGCGAAUCCAACUUAAUUUCGAUGACAGUUGUUGCCAUUCACGAUAUGAUUCGUCCUCGCGACUGCUGUCAUCGCAUCUUCCAUGGCAACGAGGACUUGCGAAAUUGUAAAUCCAACUUGAAAUUGGCCCGUAAGACAACAUCAGCGUAGAAAUCCGUAAAUUUGAAAGAUGCAACGUGUUACAGAAAAAAGUACAUUAAAUUUAACCACGAACAGAACUCGUCAACAGAAAACAUUUUUCUAUUUUGGCAUUUUUCAAAAACGAUUUUCACCCCCCCCCCCCCCCAUUAUUUAACGAAUUUAACGAGCCGUCCAUCCAUUUCUUCAAUUGUUGACCGUGAAUUUCACUUUCGAUGCAUCAGAUGGAAAGUGUUUGUUUUUACCCAAUUUUGUGCCAAGUUGGCUAGCAAUAACGUUUUAUCAGCUUCAAAAUAGUUAGUUCCUUUUCGACUUUCCUUUGCGGUGUUUUUCACUUUUCGUUAUGUUAUGCCUCGCUAUUCGAACAGUGAAUACACGGACAUGCUGCUAGUGUAUGAAGAAACCCAGGGAAAUGCAAUGCAAGCAAAAGAAUUUUGAUAUUCUUGAAAUUUUGGAGGAACAAGUGAUACGUGCUGCUGAAACAAUUCGAAACAAUUAAAUUAUGUUACAGAGUCAAAGACUCAUUUCGUCGCCGUCUUCAGUGUUGUCUAGAUAAUAAUAGUGGCCACUUUGAACAUUUAUUAUGAAGUUUUUGGCGAUUUCAAGGUAUGUCUCCAUUACCUAUUACAACCUUGCAUUCAAAUGUUUACAUUUUUUGUUCCCCAUUGUGUUCAUUUCUUAUCCCUCUCCACAAGAAACUGCUUUGUUAGCCAUUGGCGGGUAGGUGAAUUUGUAUUAAAUCUUUGACUAAUUUUAACUCAAUCACGAAAGGGUUUACGAUUAGUUCUAUUACCAGUUAAAAUUAAUGUACUUUUCUCUGUAACAGGCUGUAUAUACAUAUAUAUAUAUAUAUUCUGUAUCAAUAACAAAACUAAUAAACUAUAUUCUUUUAAAGUACCUAUGUCUUUAGCUAAACUGAAUACACAAAACAUUGUAGUUACUUUCAGCUAAAGCGACUAAUUGUAACUUGAAGUGCAUUUAAUAAGUUACUAUGUAUACAAAAUUCUCAUUGUCACUGUUUUAAAACUACAGUUGUUUUAUUUUCUUAAAGCGUAUUUGUAAUUUUUAAAUUCGUGAUACAAACAAAACUUUAUACACUUUCAUUAAAAACCAACAUCAUCACUUGAUUAAAAAAGCUUCUUUGCAGUCUUUUACACAAUGGUAUAGAAAGUAAGUUUUUCUAGUUACUAGGGGAUUUUUUACCUGUCUAGAUCCAAUACACAGUAUUAUCUAAUGGCUGACAAAGACGACACUGACACAGAUCUAGAAAUAGAGAAAACAUAUGAGACAAAUUGUCAGUCUUUAUUUCCAAGAAAAUCGAAGGGAAGGUAUGGAAAAUUGCAUGAAAGUUACAAAAAAUGGUUGUGUGCGAAGAAAGUGGUGAUAACUGAAAAAACUUUCGUGGCUUAUUUUAUUCAGGGAAGCUUAUGAUUGAAGUGUCUUCUGGAAACUUUUGAGCAGAGUAUUCUAGCUUAAGACUCUGCAAACAACUUUGACAAUAUUGUCUCAGUAGUCUGGAGUUCCUAUUGCAACAUGAAAUUGGACAAUGGGUCCAACGCAUUGACGAAAGGAUAUUACAGAACAUUUUUGAAAAUAAGAAAAACAGAGAGAACAUGUGCCGUGAACAAAAUGGUGAACACUUUGAACAUUUACUGUGAUGUUUAGCCAGAAUAAAUUUCUUUAUUUUUAUUACACCUUCUUGUUAGCUUCGACGAAAAAUGUGCAGAAGUGUCAUAAUUAUCGUCUUUUUAAUAUCACACUGUCUAUUUUCGGCUCUGGCUGCAACGGUGUGUUACCAAUGCUCGACAUCAAUUAACCCUGAUUGUCUUCAUCUUCAGGAUACGAGACAUACUUGUAAAACUACAAUUAAGGAAACCGAAAUUAACUGCAUAACUUACAAGUACAGACUGAGUGGCAGAAAUUACACCUACCGUGGUUGUCGAAAGAAAAGCGAUACUUGCGAGGAUGUUAAAAUUGAGAAAGAAAAAGAGAGGAAAGAGUUCUUUGAUUGUAGUUUAUGUGAUACUGACCUGUGUGGAAAAGCAUCUUCGAAUACGCGUUCACAUAUGCUGACAAGUUUCCUAAGUAUAUUAGUUCUAAUGAAAUUAUAAACUUUUAACUUUCUGAACAAAUUUAGUAACUAGGUUUAUUAACAUUUCACGUCAUGUACUAUGUUUCACAGUUUAGAAUAGUCCGAAAAUACAUAUAUACAA